CGCGUGCGGGAUGACGGCCUUCGGGUUGUAAACCGCUUUCAGCAGGGGACGAGGCCGCAAGGUGACGGUACCUGCAGAAGAAGCCCCGGCUAACUACGUGCC
rnacentral:rRNA from 1 species